AAGAGCAUGGUCAGCAGGUGGGUGAUAUCGAGGAGAGUUGCAAUGCUUUAGGGUCGAGUCCUCUGUGGAAUUGAAAAGAAAAUUCAUACAUUCAAGAUGUCCAGUUAGAAGUCUCUUCUACAAGUGAGAAGCUGUUUCAGUAAUCCUACGCAGGUGUGGGCUGACUGACAGCACAAACACAAUGGAGGAACCCUUUGAUGAAGACUUAUGUGUUGAACUUUACUGUGAGGUAGAAGAAACUUCACCUACAUCACGUACUGACAGCAAGGAUGACUGUCGACAGAGUGAUG